rnacentral:tRNA from 1 species
CAAGGAAUAGUUUAUGUAAAAUAUUAAUUUUGGGGAUUAAUGAUGAGGUCUUCUUUUCUUUGA